GGUGAUCGGAAGUACAGUAGAAAACCGGCCAUGUUCUUUCGCCAUAAAAAAUAAUUCCAUUUUGUAAUUAGAAUUAUUUUAUAAAACAACCACAGUUAGACUCACUUUCAGGUAAAAAAAUCCUAACUUAUUUGUUACUACAAGUUAGAAGUGGUUAAAAGCAUACUAGAAGCCAUUAAGUGAAUUGCAAUACCUGGGCGGAGCGACAGUAGUCCUAUCACUUCAAACUUCAAUUCAGCAGCCUUUUCCGUUUAGCUAUACGCGGAGUAGACAUGUCUAUGCCAGAUCGUCGUGAAGAGUGGGACAAGAAUGGCCCAGCUAAUGAAGACAGCCAGCCCCAAGGCUAUGACGGCCCACCAGGUAUGGAGCCUGAUGGCAUUAUUGAAUCCAACUGGGAAGAGGUGGUCGAUAAUUUCGACGACAUGAACCUAAAAGAGGAACUUUUAAGAGGAAUUUAUGCCUAUGGUUUUGAAAAACCUUCUGCUAUCCAACAGAGAGCCAUCAUUCCUUGUGUAAAGGGACACGAUGUUAUUGCUCAGGCUCAGUCAGGUACUGGUAAGACUGCAACAUUCUCCAUCUCUAUUUUACAACAAAUUGACACGUCAGUGAGGGAGUGCCAAGCUCUUAUAUUGGCACCAACUCGUGAAUUGGCUCAACAGAUCCAAAAAGUAGUAAUUGCCCUAGGAGAUUUCAUGUCAGCGCAGUGUCAUGCAUGUAUUGGUGGUACCAAUGUACGAGAAGACAUAAGAAAACUUGAAACUGGCGUACAUGUUGUUGUUGGUACACCUGGUAGAGUUUACGAUAUGAUAACGAGGAGAGCCCUAAGGCCGACUCAUAUUAAAAUGUUUGUUUUGGAUGAGGCUGAUGAAAUGUUGUCAAGGGGUUUUAAAGAUCAAAUUCAUGACGUGUUUAAAAUGUUGAACACUGACGUACAGGUAAUUUUACUUUCGGCUACCAUGCCAAACGAUGUGCUAGACGUGACAAAAUCCUUUAUGAGGAGUCCUGUUCGGAUACUUGUCAAAAAAGAGGAACUUACCUUAGAAGGUAUUAAACAAUUUUAUGUAUAUGUAGAAAAAGAAGAUUGGAAAUUAGAGACAUUAUGUGAUCUCUAUGAUACUCUUUCGAUUACGCAGGCUGUAAUCUUUUGCAAUACCCGUCGCAAGGUCGAUUGGUUAACAGAAAACAUGCACAAGAGAGACUUCACUGUUUCCGCUAUGCAUGGUGAUAUGGAACAAAGAGAGCGUGACGUUAUUAUGCGUCAGUUCAGAACAGGAUCAUCUAGGGUUUUAAUAACCACUGAUCUGUUAGCGAGAGGUAUAGAUGUACAGCAAGUUUCCCUAGUUAUUAAUUAUGAUUUGCCUUCUAAUAGAGAAAAUUACAUUCACAGGAUUGGUCGAGGUGGUCGAUUUGGUCGUAAGGGUGUAGCAAUAAAUUUCGUAACGGACGAUGAUAAACGCACGCUUAAGGAUAUCGAACAGUUCUAUAAUACAAAGAUAGAUGAAAUGCCUAUGAACGUUGCGGAUCUCAUAUAAAAGCGAGCUAAUAAAGAGUGUUGGUGUGUUCUACGACGUCUCCUGAAGUAUCUUUGGUGCGUCGUCAAUCCUGUGGACACCAAAAUUUGGAAAUAAAGAACUAAUUUCCAUUUUAAAAUUACAA
rnacentral:misc_RNA from 1 species